GACGGCGCAGCUGGAGGACAUCAGAUCAUCACCUCACCUCCAUAUAACCACCACACGGACAUCCAGUCAUCACUGGAUUAUACUACUCAUCGUGAACCUGUCCGUACCUCGCCUGCAUCCCGGAAAGUCCUGUCUGCCCGCUCCAGCCCGUCCGUUCAGCGAACCCUGCAAUCUCCUCCGCACAUUCAAUAAACUGUUCUUUAUCAUUCUCCGUAAGCUUCACUCCUUGGAUCCAUACACCACCCCCUGACAUCAUGCUUUGUCUGUUACAGACUGCUUUAAAAAGGUCAAAAUUCCCUCCAAGAUCAUAACAAUUACAUUUCUUGGAAGAAAGCUAUCUGAGAGUGUGAUGUGCAGCA